GACGAACGCUGGCGGCGUGCCUAAUACAUGCAAGUAGAACGCACAGUUUAUACCGUAGCUUGCUACACCAUAAACUGUGAGUUGCGAACGGGUGAGUAACGCGUAGGUAACCUGCCUGGUAGCGGGGGAUAACUAUUGGAAACGAUAGCUAAUACCGCAUAAUAUUGAUUAUUGCAUGAUAAUUGAUUGAAAGAUGCUAUUGCAUCACUACCAGAUGGACCUGCGUUGUAUUAGCUAGUAGGUGAGGUAACGGCUCACCUAGGCGACGAUACAUAGCCGACCUGAGAGGGUGAUCGGCCACACUGGGACUGAGACACGGCCCAGACUCCUACGGGAGGCAGCAGUAGGGAAGCUUCGGCAAUGGACGAAAGUCUGACCGAGCAACGCCGCGUGAGUGAAGAAGGUUUUCGGAUCGUAAAGCUCUGUUGUAAGAGAAGAACGGGUGUGAGAGUGGAAAGUUCACACUGUGACGGCAUCUUACCAGAAAGGGACGGCUAACUACAUG
rnacentral:rRNA from 1 species